CAAGGAGUAGUUUAUAAAGAAUU
rnacentral:tRNA from 1 species